rnacentral:rRNA from 1 species
GACGAACGCUGGCGGCGUGCCUAAUACAUGCAAGUCGAGCGGACCGGCUUGGGGCUUGCCUUGAUUCGGUCAGCGGCGGACGGGUGAGUAACACGUGGGCAACCUGCCCGCAAGACCGGGAUAACUCCGGGAAACCGGAGCUAAUACCGGAUAACACCGAAGACCGCAUGGUCUUCGGUUGAAAGGCGGCCUUUGGGCUGUCACUUGCGGAUGGGCCCGCGGCGCAUUAGCUAGUUGGUGAGGUAACGGCUCACCAAGGCGACGAUGCGUAGCCGGCCUGAGAGGGUGACCGGCCACACUGGGACUGAGACACGGCCCAGACUCCUACGGGAGGCAGCAGUAGGGAAUCUUCCGCAAUGGGCGAAAGCCUGACGGAGCGACGCCGCGUGAGCGAAGAAGGCCUUCGGGUCGUAAAGCUCUGUUGUGAGGGACGAAGGAGCGUCGUUCGAAGAGGGCGGCGCGGUGACGGUACCUCACGAGAAAGCCCCGGCUAACUACGU